AAGCAGCUUGCUGCUUCGCUGACGAGUGGCGGACGGGUGAGUAAUGUCUGGGAAACUGCCUGAUGGAGGGGGAUAACUACUGGAAACGGUGGCUAAUACCGCAUAACGUCGCAAGACCAAAGAGGGGGACCUUCGGGCCUCUUGCCAUCAGAUGUGCCCAGAUGGGAUUAGCUUGUUGGUGAGGUAACGGCUCACCAAGGCGACGAUCCCUAGCUGGUCUGAGAGGAUGACCAGCCACACUGGAACUGAGACACGGUCCAGACUCCUACGGGAGGCAGCAGUGGGGAAUAUUGCACAAUGGGCGCAAGCCUGAUGCAGCCAUGCCGCGUGUAUGAAGAAGGCCUUCGGGUUGUAAAGUACUUUCAGCGGGGAGGAAGGUGUUGUGGUUAAUAACCACAGCAAUUGACGUUACCCGCAGAAGAAGCACCGGCUAACUCCGUGCCAGCAGCCGCGGUAAUACGGAGGGUGCAAGCGUUAAUCGGAAUUACUGGGCGUAAAGCGCACGCAGGCGGUCUGUCAAGUCGGAUGUGAAAUCCCCGGGCUCAACCUGGGAACUGCAUUCGAAACUGGCAGGCUUGAGUCUUGUAGAGGGGGGUAGAAUUCCAGGUGUAGCGGUGAAAUGCGUAGAGAUCUGGAGGAAUACCGGUGGCGAAGGCGGCCCCCUGGACAAAGACUGACGCUCAGGUGCGAAAGCGUGGGGAGCAAACAGGAUUAGAUACCCUGGUAGUCCACGCCGUAAACGAUGUCUACUUGGAGGUUGUGCCCUUGAGGCGUGGCUUCCGGAGCUAACGCGUUAAGUAGACCGCCUGGGGAGUACGGCCGCAAGGUUAAAACUCAAAUGAAUUGACGGGGGCCCGCACAAGCGGUGGAGCAUGUGGUUUAAUUCGAUGCAACGCGAAGAACCUUACCUGGUCUUGACAUCCACAGAACUUUCCAGAGAUGGAUUGGUGCCUUCGGGAACUGUGAGACAGGUGCUGCAUGGCUGUCGUCAGCUCGUGUUGUGAAAUGUUGGGUUAAGUCCCGCAACGAGCGCAACCCUUAUCCUUUGUUGCCAGCGGUUAGGCCGGGAACUCAAAGGAGACUGCCAGUGAUAAACUGGAGGAAGGUGGGGAUGACGUCAAGUCAUCAUGGCCCUUACGACCAGGGCUACACACGUGCUACAAUGGCGCAUACAAAGAGAAGCGACCUCGCGAGAGCAAGCGGACCUCAUAAAGUGCGUCGUAGUCCGGAUUGGAGUCUGCAACUCGACUCCAUGAAGUCGGAAUCGCUAGUAAUCGUGGAUCAGAAUGCCACGGUGAAUACGUUCCCGGGCCUUGUACACACCGCCCGUCACACCAUGGGAGUGGGUUGCAAAAGAAGUAGGUAGCUUAACCUUCGGGAGGGCGCUUACCACUUUGUGAUUCAUGACUGGGGUGAAGUCGUAACAAGGUAACCGUAGGGGAACCUGCGGUUGGAUCACCUCCUUACCUUAAAGAA
rnacentral:rRNA from 1 species